AUUGAACGCUGGCGGCGUGCUUAACACAUGCAGGUCGGAGCGGUAACAGGCGUAGCAAUACGUGCUGACGAGCGGCGAACGGGUGAGUAAUGCUUCGGAAUCUGCCCAGGUAGUGGGGAAUAACCUGGGGAAACUCAGGCUAAUACCGCAUACGAACUACGGCUGAAAGCAGGGGAUCGCAAGACCUUGCGCUAUUGGAU
rnacentral:rRNA from 1 species